CCUACGGGAGGCAGCAGUGAGGAAUAUUGGUCAAUGGUCGCGAGCCUGAACCAGCCAAGUAGCGUGAAGGAUGACUGCCCUACGGGUUGUAAACUUCUUUUAUGCGGGAAUAAAGUGCGGCACGUGUGCUUUUUUGUAGGUACUUUAUGAAUAAGGAUCGGCUAAAUCCGUGCCAGCAGCCGCGGUAAUACGGAGGAUCCGAGCGUUAUCCGGAGUUAUUGGGUUUAAAGGGAGCGUAGGUGGGUUGUUAAGUCUGUUGUGAAAUGUUGCGGCUCAACCGUAAAAUUGCAAUUGAGACUGGCAGUCUUGAGUACAGGAGAGGUAGGCGGAAUUCGUGGUGUAGCGGUGAAAUGCUUAGAUAUCACGAAGAACUCCGAUUGCGAAGGCAGCUUACGAAACUGCCACUGACACUGAUGCUCGAAAGUGUGGGUAUCGAACAGGAUUAGAUACCCGAGUAGUC
rnacentral:rRNA from 1 species